AUUCAGCUAAUGGUUCAUCAAGUGGCUCAACUAAUGGUUCAUCAAGUGGAUCAACUAGUGGUUCAUCAAGUGGCUCUUCAAGUGGUUCAACUAGCACCUCAACAACUGGCUCAGACAAAACUACUGUCAACAUUCCGAUUGGACAGAUUUAUUAUGUACCAAACAACAGUUGUGUCUACUAUGAAUGCAAUGAAGAAAACGGGGUUCCAGUACUGACCAAAGUACAGAAAGUCUGCCAGAAAUUAGACCUGAGCACUUGUGAACUGGGAACUCUAAAAUAUGAUUCUGAUGGAUGCUGUCAGACCUGUACGCCUAAG